GGUUCAUGUGGGGAACACUUGGUCCCUGGUGUGGCUGUAUCGAGAGGUGGAGGACCCUUCAAGAGGUGGGACCUAGUAGAGAGAAGCAGCAGCAUGCUGUCCAUGGCAGAACCAAGCGAUAAAACAAGGAAAACCUUUAACAGCAGCGGCGAGUGUGCUGGGAAAUGACAAGCCCCUUCUAGGUCUGUGUUCAUGAGGGAAACACGCUGUCCUGCACCUUCUUCCAUAAGUGCAUGGAGCGGGGGAAACGCAGCCCACAGCGAAGGACGUCAGUGCUGAGCAAGGACAGAGUCCACGAGAACCUUCUGGGAAAAGCUGCUGGUAACUGAGAUCCAUGAUGCCAGCUGGUCCCUAAAUAAUCUCCACUCAGCAAAGCAGCCAGACUCUGGGGACAGUGACGGCAAGCAACCUACAGCCUUAGUAUAAGAAAACAGAAAAGGUGUCUGCAAAAUAGACAUUAAACCACAAGAGCAAGACGAGCUGACAGGGCAGUGAACAUGUCCCCUGCUCAGCUCACAAACUCAGAAGUAGCUACCAAGAGAUUCUGCAGGGCAUAACCUGCUCCAUGGACAGCCAGCAGGCAACAGAGAAAACAUGUGAUCCAUACCUUCCACAACUACAGAGGAUGCACUCUGUCUACCAGAGAUGUUUCUAGGAGAUACAGGUUUAAGAUGCCAACGACAUGCAUCUUCACCAUGAAUCGCCUCAUCAAACAUAACAGUAAAAAGAGGGGAGGACACCUAACUUGGGGCUCAGAGCAUGACGCUCAAACAGUGUGCACUUUGGUGUGCUGAGUACUUGGAGUGAGGCCAUGGGAGCAGGACCUCGGGACCUUCUCUUGCCCUUCUGUCUCCACCCUCCUUCUGCCAAAGCUGGAGUCACAGAAGCAGAGUUCUCAAGACAAGUCCUAGAAACUCGAACCCUUCACCCUUCAUGCAAGCCAUAAAAACUGUAAAGGCCACUCCCUUCUCCUUUGAAGACCCUUAAUCCAGAAGGACACUGCCACCUACAGGGGCAGGGAAGGAGGGUGCUCAAGAAGAAUUCAGACAGACAACCCUCCUGGGUCACCCACACUCUCAUACCCAAGGUCAAAUCCCUUUUAUCCAAACACAUUUCUGAAGGGCUGCCCACUCU